rnacentral:rRNA from 1 species
GCAUAUCAAUAAGCGGAGGAAAAGAAACCAACAGGGAUUGCCCUAGUAACGGCGAGUGAAGCGGCAACAGCUCAAAUUUGAAAUCUGGCGUCUUCGGCGUCCGAGUUGUAAUUUGCAGAGGGCGCUUUGGCAUUGGCAGCGGUCCAAGUUCCUUGGAACAGGACGUCACAGAGGGUGAGAAUCCCGUACGUGGUCGCUAGCCUUUACCGUGUAAAGCCCCUUCGACGAGUCGAGUUGUUUGGGAAUGCAGCUCUAAAUGGGAGGUAAAUUUCUUCUAAAGCUAAAUACUGGCCAGAGACCGAUAGCGCACAAGUAGAGUGAUCGAAAGAUGAAAAGCACUUUGGAAAGAGAGUUAAAAAGCACGUGAAAUUGUUGAAAGGGAAGCGCUUGCAGCCAGACUUGCCUGUAGUUGCUCAUCCGGGUUUUUACCCGGUGCACUCUUCUACGGGCAGGCCAGCAUCAGUUUGGGCGGUUGGAUAAAGGUCUCUGUCAUGUACCUCUCUUCGGGGAGAACUUAUAGGGGAGACGACAUGCAACCAGCCUGGACUGAGGUCCGCGC